rnacentral:ncRNA from 2 species
UAGAAUCUUCAGGGCAGGGUGAAAGUCCCUACCGGUGGUAUAGCCCACGAGCCGCAAGGCAUGAUUCGGUGAAACUCCGAAGCCGACAGUAUAGUCUGGAUGAAAGAAGAUGGAU